CUUUGUCAUCCAUCGCUUGGGUGAUCUGCUCAUCAGCCAGUUCUCAGGUCCUAGUGCGGAGCAGAUGCGUAAGACCUACUCAGAGUUCUGCAGCCGCCACACCAAGGCCUUAAAGCUCUAUAAGGAGCUGUACGCCCGAGACAAACGCUUCCAGCAAUUCAUCCGGGUGAGCGAACCUCUCCAGAUCCCAUGCUCAUGGCCCAAACCCACCCUCCCCGACUCAUGGGGGUAGUGCCUGUGAGCUGCACCCACAUGGAGGUCAGGCAUUCGCCACCCGUGCGGACCAUCCACACACAGAUCCUGUCAGCAGUAACCCCUCAGAAUGCUAGAGCAGGUUGUGGUAGUUUCCCAAGUACUUUUUGCUCCUUCAGUUGAUCCUCACAACAAACCUGUGGCGUUGUUAUCCCCAUUUUCCAGAUGUGUCACCUAGGCAAGCAUGAGGUAAAUGGCCACGCCAGGGCCAGCACCAGAGCUCAGGCCCCAGGCCUUUCCGUUGCCCUCCCCUCUGGCCCUGAGUCCUGCCUCCUCCCUUGUAGAAAGUGACCCGCUCCGCCGUGCUCAAGCGGUACGGGGUACAGGAGUGCAUCCUGCUGGUGACUCAGCGCAUCACCAAGUACCCGGUACUCAUCAGCCGCAUCCUGCAGCAUUCCCACGGUGAGUAGGCAGGCCCAGGAGAGGGCCAUUGAGAGACGGCCACCUGGGGUGAGGAAAGGCUCGGUAUGACCACGGGAAGGGUGGGGUCGGGUGUGAAACCCUGGGCAGCUUCUAAAGGUGGAAUCAAGACACGAUGGGAACUGGGGUGUGAGUGAAGCUGGUUGAG
rnacentral:sRNA from 1 species